AUUGUCUUUCGCGAAUCCCUGGUUUCACCCUUCACCGAAGUAGAGAAGAUGCCACUGAAACGCUUCCAUAUCUCUCAGAUGACGUUACACUCUUCAAUUCUUGUGUAAUUCCACCUACACCAUCUUCGUUGCAUAUAAAUACAAACUGUAUGAGAGACGAAGCCAAAUCCUUUUGUUUUUCCUAAUUCUGAACUUCUGUUCAUUCUCAUUAAAACGUUCUACCAUGGCGACUUUUCAAGUUUAUUUCUCGGAGUUCACACCAGACUACUUUAAUUUUGGGAGGCCCGUCAUGUGAAGAAACGCAGGGAGCUGAUGGGCGUUCAUAUACUGCUAUUGAUACAAAGGGGACCCUCUUCGAAGCCUCUAUCAGUGUUUACCGCCUUAACAACUCUUAAAAGAAGGCUCCUUUUAUGAGCUGAGUGAUUUUCAUGUUGCAAGAAGCAACCUCAAAUUCAGGUUUGGUAACGCUCUCCUGUUGCGAUUAGAUUUUCGGAACAACCCGUUUAGGUUGAGCUCGCAGAACCGAGUCAACAGAUCCUGGCUGACCGGUUUAGGUUCUGCAAGCAUGACCAACUCAUGUUACUCUUCAACACCAACACUGAUUUGCGAGUCGGAGAAAUUAGGAGUAUCAAAACGUUUUCAACAAGGAGACCCAACAACGAUGAGUAUGCCGCCGUCAGUAUCUGAAAAAGAACAUGUUCAUACUUUCUCUGAAGCGAAAGUGAUGUUUUCGUCUCUAAAAUUUCAUCAAUCGG